rnacentral:rRNA from 1 species
UACGAAGGGUGCAAACGUUGCUCGGAAUUAUUGGGCGUAAAGCGCACGUAGGCGGCUUAGUAAGUUGGAUGUGAGAUCCCUCGGCUUAACCAAGGAAGUGCAUCCAAAACUACUGAGCUUGAGUACUAAAGAGGAUCGCGGAAUUCCCGGUGUAGAGGUGAAAUUCGUAGAUAUCGGGAGGAACACCAGUGGCGAAGGCGGCGAUCUGGGUAGAUACUGACGCUGAGGUGCGAAAGCGUGGGGAGCAAACAGG